GGUCUGCGCAGGCGCAGGCUCGGGAAGCCGGGCGCGGUGGUGUUUCUGCGGCCCGCGGCUGCCCUCUCGUGGCCGCAAGGCGCCAUGGCACGGCCGCUUCCACGCAGCGGAGGUGCGCUGGCCGGAAGGCGGCGGGUCCGGCCAGCCAGGGAGACCAGCCAAGCGCUGUGUUUUUCCAGGUCCGCGCGGGCCAGGGGAACCCUGCGUGUUUGCUUGGUGGGAGUGGUUUACUGGGAAAGUAGACGGAAGGUACCCUGCAAAUCGGCGUGCACUGUAUUGUUUGGGAGUCAACAGCCUGGAAAGUAAAUAUCAGUCGCUUUGGAAUGUGUUUCCUCUCGUCCGGGGUUUGAAGAUUAGUCAUGAAAAACAUCACUCUGCCCUUGCUGAAGUGCAUGUUGGCUACUCGAUCAUUCCACCUGUGUGCCCCAAGACGGUCUGCUAAGGAGGGCUCCCCUCUUUUCCAUGCCCUCUCAGCUCCAGACUCCAUCCCAUCCAUCAACAUUAUCCUGUGCCCCCGAGGGAGGAGGGCGGGGGAGGGUUUCUGUGCCUGGAUUAUUGGUGAGAGGAGAGCAAGUGCAGAAAUGAAGCUAUGACUCUUGCAGAAGUCAUGCAUUCCGUUCAAGGAUAUUCCUUUCCGUAGCCUCCACACAUUCCCUCUGGCUGCAGGCCCCUGGGAUUUUUCUGUGUGACCCCGUCACAUUGCAUCUGUAUAGAUUGUCAAAGCACCUCAUGACUGUGGAGGAAGAAGUCGGGGACAGAACAUGGAUCUGGAAGGCUCACAGCAUGGAUUUGGUAGGGUGACACAAUGUCCCAUGUUCUUCAAGAAAUGUCUAGACUAGGUGAUUGAUUCUAUCGUAGAUCUGGCACAAUGCUCCUGCCACACAGGGGGCAAAUUGAGAUCCAGAGAGAAGUGACUGGCCCAGGUCACUCAGCCAGCUGGUAACUUAGCUGGAAUUCGUUCCCAGGUCUCCUGACAUCCAGUUCAUUCAUUUUUUGCACGUUUCCUGAGGACUUACUGUAUGCUAGGCACUGUUGUAGGUGCUAGGCAUAUACAAAGUGCCCGUAUAGAGCUUGUGUCUUGUAGUGUGUGUGUGGGGAGAUUGUGGAUAAACAAAUAAACAGAUUUAUCCAGAAUGCCACAUGGUUAAAAGUUUUUAUGAUACUCAGUGCCUCUUUUCCUCUUGUUUUUGAAGGGAAUGGGUUUGAGGCUUGAGAAGAGAUGUUCACUCAUACACUGGGUCAUUAAAUAAACAUUAGAGGAUGCCCCACUAUGUGCCAGAUGCUGUGCAGGGCACACAGAUAUAAAGGCAGGGGUCUGUCUUCAAAAGCUGCCACCAGCUGGGCAGAUAAGGUAUUCCUCUUAGCAUCUUUACAUGGAUUUCUGUAAUUGUUAUGCUAAUUGUUUUUCUCCCCAGAUCUCUCCCAAAAAGGAUGCUUGUAGAAAACGAUGAUUCUGAAAUGGUACAAAUCCCUUUCCCAAAAGGCAUCUCAAAGCCAGCCGCUGCUACUGACUUAUUGAUGGCUAUCACCCAGUGGCCUUGGGGAGGCGGUGGGAAGCCCAACCACUGCCUGUAAUAAGGAGAGACAACUCAGCAUCCACCCUGCAGUGAAUAAUAGAACAAAAAGCUGCCGGCGCCUGCAGGAUCAAAGCACAUGAGCGAUCACAGUGUCUCUGGGUUAAAUAGAUCCGCGAAGGCCAGGCAGCCAG
rnacentral:lncRNA from 1 species